rnacentral:rRNA from 1 species
AGGGUUUGAUUCUGGCUCAGGACGAACGCUGGCGGCGUGCCUAACACAUGCAAGUCGAACGGAGAUAAGCGCUGAUGAUUUAGCUUGCUAGAGAUUCUUGUUUAUCUUAGUGGCGGACGGGUGAGUAACGCGUGAGCAACCUGCCUUUCAGAGGGGGAUAACGUCUUGAAAAGGACGCUAAUACCGCAUGAUAUUAUGGAGCCACAUGGCUCUAUAAUCAAAGGAGCAAUCCGCUGAAAGAUGGGCUCGCGUCCGAUUAGGUAGUUGGCGGGAUAACAGCCCACCAAGCCGACGAUCGGUAGCCGGACUGAGAGGUUGAACGGCCACAUUGGGACUGAGACACGGCCCAG